rnacentral:snoRNA from 1 species
ACCCCCUGGCAAUGGGCAAAGAGACAUCUCAUUGGUGGUGUUGCUCUUAUAUCUGUCAGGGGCAAAGCAGUUGUCCUUUGUUCAUCCUAGCUUGAUGCCUGUGUUGGUGGCCAGAGCUGUUUCAUGCUUGGGGCACAUAA